CUUAUAUAUAUAUGAGAAGCAUUAUGGAUGGGAUGUGAACAAGAGCUGGGCAGAGGGUGCACACCCAGAUGCUGUCUUGGCCAGGUCAUUUUCAUAGCUGGGCGAGGAGACGCUGAGAUGAACUACAGCUGGUAGCUGGCUCCCUGCUGGGAUGUGCAUUCAGAUCUCCAUCCCUGGCUUCCAAAGACUCUACCUGCUACCCAGGAUUUGAAACUUUUAAUGUAGGUCAUCCGACCAAGUGGAAAGAACCACAGCAUCCCUUUAUAAUGGAAAGCCAAGGCUACUACUUUAAUUCUGUACCUGAUCACGUGCACUGGCCAUUAGGAUCACUUUGUGUGGGCCACUAGGAAACGCACAGCCAAAUCGGCACCCCACCCUUACUUAUUAAGUACAUAAAUCAUUAGGCCGCAUGUAACUUGUGUGUCAACCUCACUACUGGCUUAAUCUUGAUUCUAUACCCUUAUUUUUCUUUCAUUCCCUCUUUUCUGAUUUAAAAAAAAUAGUGUAUUUGACAUAUAAUGUAUUUGGGAAUAAAGUACAAUACAAAGAAAUAAACUUUCUGCCCAAACAAGGCAGCAUG